CGAUUUGAGUGGUUUGGAGGAAAAUACAAAUACACAAAAGCCAAAGGAGACAAAACUCUUGAGCGGCGGCUCGACGAGCACUCAAGGAAGGUGACGAAAAAAUGACCGAAGAGAGAUUGGACAGUUGGCAUGCUCUU
ensembl:ncRNA F42E8.3 ncRNA